rnacentral:rRNA from 1 species
GACGAACGCUGGCGGCGUGCUUAACACAUGCCAGUCGAACGCUGAAGCUUGGUGCUUGCACUGGGUGGAUGAGUGGCGAACGGGUGAGUAAUACGUGAGUAACCUGCCCUUGACUCUGGGAUAAGCCUGGGAAACUGGGUCUAAUACUGGAUACGACAUGUCACCGCAUGGUGGCGUGUGGAAAGGGUUUUACUGGUUUUGGAUGGGCUCACGGCCUAUCAGCUUGUUGGUGGGGUAAUGGCUCACCAAGGCGACGACGGGUAGCCGGCCUGAGAGGGUGACCGGCCACACUGGGACUGAGACACGGCCCAGACUCCUACGGGAGGCAGCAGUGGGGAAUAUUGCACAAUGGGCGAAAGCCUGAUGCAGCGACGCCGCGUGAGGGAUGACGGCCUUCGGGUUGUAAACCUCUUUCAGCACGGAAGAAGCGAAAGUGACGGUACGUGCAGAAGAAGCGCCGGCUAACUACGUG